UACGUAGGGUGCGAGCGUUGUCCGGAAUUAUUGGGUGUAAAGAGCUUGUAGGCGGUUUGUCGCGUCUGCUGUGAAAAUCCGGGGCUCAACCCCGGACUUGCAGUGGGUACGGGCAGACUAGAGUGUGGUAGGGGAGACUGGAAUUCCUGGUGUAGCGGUGGAAUGCGCAGAUAUCGGGAGGAACACCGGUGGCGAAGGCGGCGACCUGGGUAGAUACUGACGCUGAGGCGCGAAAGCGGUGGGGAGCAAACAGGG
rnacentral:rRNA from 1 species